CCCCAGACUCCUACGGGAGGCAGCAGUGAGGGAUAUUGGUCAAUGGGGGAAACCCUGAACCAGCAACGCCGCGUGAGGGAAGACGGUUUUCGGAUUGUAAACCUCUGUCCUCUGUGAAGAUAAUGACGGUAGCAGAGGAGGAAGCUCCGGCUAACUACGUGCCAGCAGCCGCGGUAAUACGUAGGGAGCGAGCGUUGUCCGGAUUUACUGGGUGUAAAGGGUGCGUAGGCGGCCCUGCAAGUCAGAAGUGAAAUCCAUGGGCUUAACCCGUGAACUGCUUUUGAAACUGCAGGACUUGAGUGGAGUAGAGGUAGGCGGAAUUCCCGGUGUAGCGGUGAAAUGCGUAGAGAUCGGGAGGAACACCGGCGGCGAAGGCGGCCUGCUGGACCGUGACUGACGUUGAGGCUCGAGAGCGUGGGGAGCAAACAGGAUUAGAUACCCUUGUAU
rnacentral:rRNA from 1 species